rnacentral:rRNA from 1 species
CCUGGUUGAUCCUGCCAGUAGUCAUAUGCUUGUCUCAAAGAUUAAGCCAUGCAUGUGUAAGUAUGAACUAAUUCAAACUGUGAAACUGCUAAUGGCUCAUUAAAUCAGUUAAAGUUUGUUUGAUGGUAUUUUCUACUCGGAUAACUAUAGUAAUUCUAGAGCUAAUACGUACAAUAAACCCUAACUUCUAGAAGGGAUACAUUUAUUAGAUAAAAGUUCGACGCGGGAUUUACCCGUUGCUCUGAUGAUUCAUGAUAACUCGACGGAUCGCACGACCUUUGUGCAGGCCACGCAUCAUUCAAAUUUAUGCCCUAUCAACUUUCGAUGGUAGGAUAGUGGCCUACUAUGGUGGUGAUGGGUUACGGAGAAUUAGGGUUUGAUUUCGGAGAGGGAGCCUGAGAAACGGCUACCACAUCCAAGAAAGGCAGCAGGCGUGCAAAUUACCCAAUCCUGACACGGGGAGGUAGUGACAAUAAAUAACAAUACCGGGCUCUACGAGUCUGGUAAUUGGAAUGAGUACAAUCUAAAUCCCUUAACGAGGAUCCCUUAGAGGGCAAGUCUGGUGCCAGCAGCCGUGGUAAUUCCAGCUCCAAUAGCGUAUAUUUAAGUUGUUGCAGUUAAAAAUCUCGUCAUUGGACCUAGGGUUGGGUCGACCGGUCCGCCUAACGAUGAGCACUGGUCUACUCGUCUCUACUGCCAGUGAUGCGCUUCUGGCCUUAAUUGGCCGGGUCGUUCCUCCGGCGCUGUUACUUUGAAGAAAUGAGAGUGCUCAAAGAAGGCCUACAAUUAUAUACAUUAGCAUGGGAUAACAUCACAGGAUUUCGAUCCUAUUGUAUUGGCCUUCGGGAUCAGAGUAAUGAUUAAUAGGGACAGUCAGGGCCAUUCGUAUUUCAUAGUCAGAGGUGAAAUUCUUGGAUUUAUGAAAGAUGAACAACUGCGAAAGCAUUUGCCAAGGAUGUUUUGAUUAAUCAAGAACGAAGAUUGGGGACUCGAAGAUGAUCAGAUAUCAUCCUAGUAUCAACCAAAAACGAUGCCGACCAAGGAUCGGCGGAUGUUGUUUUAGGACUCUGCCGGCAACUUAUGAGAAAUCAAAGUCUUUGGGUUUUGGGGAGAGUAUGGUCACAAGCCUGAAACUUAAAGGAAUUGACGAAAGGGCACCAUCAGAAGUGGAGCCUGCGGCUUAAAUUGACUCAACACGGGGAAACUUACCAGGUCCAGACAUAGUAUGGAUUGACAGACUGAGAGCUCCUUCUUGAUUCUAUGGGUAGUGGUGCAUGGCCGUUCUUAGUUGGUGGAGCGAUUUGUCUGGUUAAUUCCAUUAACGAACGAGACCAUAACCUUCUAACUAGCUACACGGAGGUGAUCCUCCGUGGCUAGCUUCUAAGAUGGACUAUGGCCGCUUAGGCCAAGGAAGUUUGAAGCAAUAACAGGUCUAUGAUGUCCUUAGAUGUUCUGGGCCAUCACGUGCGCUACACUAAUGCAUUCAACGAGUCUAUAGCCUUGGCUGACAGGCACGGGUAAUCUUUGAAAUUUCAUCGUGAUGGGGAUAGAUUAUUGUAAUUGUUGGUCUUAAAUGAGGAUUUCAUAGUAAGCACGAGUCAUCAGCUCGCGUUGACUAUGUCCCUGCCCUCUGUACACACUGCCCGUCGCUCCUACCGAUUGAAUGAUCUGGUAAAGUCUUCGAAUCGCAACAACGUGGGUGGUUCGCUACCCACGACGUCGCGAGAAGUCCACUGAACCUUAUCAUUUAGAGGAAGGAGAAGUCGUAACAAGCUUUUCGUAGGUGAACCUACGAAAG